GUAGGUGGCAAGCGUUGUCCGGAAGUAUUGGGCGUAAAGCGCGCGCAGGCGGUUCUUUAAGUCUGAUGUGAAAGCCCACGGGCUCAACCGUGGAGGGUCAUUGGAAACUGGAGAACUUGAGUACAGAAGAGGAAAGCGGAAUUCCACGUGUAGCGGUGAAAUGCGUAGAGAUGUGGAGGAACACCAGUGGCGAAGGCGGCUUUCUGGUCUGUAACUGACGCUGAGGCGCGAAAGCGUGGGGAGCAAACAGGAUUAGAUACCCUGGUAGUCCACGCCGUAAACGAUGAGUGCUAAGUGUUAGGGGGUUUCCGCCCCUUAGUGCUGCAGCUAACGCAUUAAGCACUCCGCCUGGGGAGUACGGCCGCAAGGCUG
rnacentral:rRNA from 1 species